rnacentral:rRNA from 1 species
UACGAGGGGGGCGAGCGUUGUUCGGAAUUAUUGGGCGUAAAGGGUGCGUAGGCGGUUCGGCAAGUCUUGUGUGAAAUCCUGGAGCUCAACUCCAGAACUGCCUUUGAUACUGAGGAUCUUGAGUUCGGGAGAGGUGAGUGGAACUGCGAGUGUAGAGGUGAAAUUCGUAGAUAUUCGCAAGAACACCAGUGGCGAAGGCGGACUCACUGGCCCAUUACUGACGCUGAGGAGCGAAAGCGUGGGGAGCGAACAGGA